GUGCUGCACUGUCGCCUCUGUCGCACUUCUCUGUGGGAGCUGACAUUUUGCUUGUACUUCAUCAGGCUGGACCACCUGCUGAGAGCCAGCUUGAUGGACAUCACUGCUCACCCUCCCCAGUCCUAUAACCACUAGACAACCUGGAACAGAGAAACUGCCCUGUCCAUUCAGCUCAAGAAAAGCCCUGCAGACUCUCUGAAGAUGGCAUUGCAAGGAGAAAAUGAGGAUACAUGUCCAAGUGACAUAUCAAGUAAAAAAUCCUUCCAGUUGGCCUCCAGGCUCAAGGUAAUUACAUUGUCUGCCCACAUAGGCUUUGCUGUAGAAAGCUGCCUAGAGAGAACACUUGACUUUCCAGUGGAUGGAAAGAGACAUUGGUAGAGAUCAUUCAAAGUGGUGGUUAUGAUGCCACCAUAUAGGACCAUCCUAGUCCCAGUUGCCAGGGAUAGUACAGAG
rnacentral:lncRNA from 1 species